rnacentral:lncRNA from 1 species
UCUACUACUCAUUCUUAAUUCUGGCCAAGACAGCAAAUCUUUUGAAAUUGAAAUGAGAUCAUGCCCUCCUCUGCUCAAAACUACCCUGUGCUAUAUCAUCCCACUGCAGGUAAAGCCAUGAUUCUUUCCAUGAUGGGUAAUGCCCUGUGUGACCUGGGUCUCUGCCACCCUCUGAUUGUAUCUAUGAAUGGACCUACUCAUUCAGAUUCAGUCACACACUGGCAUCCUUGUCAUUCCUUGAACGAACUGAAAGUUUCCUUCAACAUUAUCCUACUAGCUGUGCCUUCUCCAGAUGUUGCCUGAUCUCCCUUAGCCUGCCCCUCAUCUCCAUCACACUCUGCUGCACUCUACAAUUUGCUUGAAUCACUAAUUUUGUGAUGAUGGGACUCUCUCUCGCUCAGUUACUGUCACAUACCAGGUAAAUACUUACUGAUGACAACGAUGCAUCUCAUCUCACUCUUGCAAAUCUCUGAGAUGGACUCUAUCCAUUUUCUUAUUACAAAUUUAGAAACAAGGCAGGGCUGUAGCUUAGGUAGAAUGCUAGCCCACCUGGCAUUCAGGAACCCCCCCCAGAUUUGACCUCUAGUGGCACUCGUCUGAAAUUUCAGCAUCCAUGUGGAGGCAGGCAAAUGAGGAAUUCAAAAUGAUUCUUGGUCCCCAUUCAAGCAGAUGAAAUGAUGGAUUGACAAUUCAGAGGGUCCUCAUAGGGUAUGGACCUCAUUAAAAUAUGAACCUUUGAUUAUAAUAUGCUGACUCUUCUUUCAUUGCAUUUAAGAAAAUAAUCUGGUUAUACAAAAUACUUGUAAAUAAUAACGUCUCCCAAAUGGUAGGAAACUUAGAAAAACAAAACAAAGCAACCCCGAUUCUCAUGAUUUCGAGUAGGCACAACUACUCAGUUUUCUCUUAUUAAAAUUUAAUAAAAGCUGGACAUAGUGGCACCAUGCCUAUAAUUAAAGUUUCUUGGGAAACUAAAGGAAGACGGCAAAUUCCAGGCCUGCCUGAGCAAUAGUGUGACUUUAAGAGCACCCUGGACAAUCUAGUGAGACCAUGUCUCAAAGUGAAAAAACAAAAACAGCUAGGGAGGCACUGAGUGGUGUCAGUGCUACCAACACCAUGGCCAGGGUUCAGUUCCCAGUGCUGACCAUAAGGGUAAAUAAUAAUAAUAAAACCAGUAGCCACAUGGGUGACACAUGUCUACCAUCUCAGCACUCAGGAAGUGGAGGCUGAGGAUGGAGUUCAAGCUCUGUCUGGGCUAUCCCAAAAAUGUAAAACAAAACAAAACAAACAAACAAACAAAACAGUAAAUGAGUAAGUAAGUAAGAAUGAAAGACAAUACUGAAAAUCAUACAUAUCUUUAUACUAUCCCCUGGUUUUGGUAAAGAAAAAUUCCCUUUUGAACCUGGGGCUGAGAUAGGUUUCACUUAAUAGAAGAUACUACGCUGGUGAGCCAGGAUGACCAGUAGUUCAAAGCCAGCCACAUCCUAAGUUUGAGGCCAGCCUGGGCUGCAGGAGACUCUAUUGUAUCACCCCUCCAAAAUAGUAAGGGUGUUAGGCUCUAUUAAAUCCUUUAAAAAUGGCUCACAUGGGGCUGUAUAUUUAAUAUGAGAUCUGUUUUUUUUGGUUGCUGUCACACUAUUUUUCUGACUGUCAGACAUCAAGAUGUGAGUGGAAACCAUGUGGACUCUCACCCUUGAAGGACAGAUAACAGGGCUGGCAGGCUUUAUUCCUGGAUGGCAGGAAGGAGUAACAUACGAAGGGGCUGGGAAGAAAACUUGGGAGAAUGAUAGGUGUUGAGGACAGUGAGCCUAAGCUGUUGUGUAUCAGGAGGCUUUGUGGUUUUCACUACUUAUUUAUUACUUACCUGGGGGAGUGCAUGAGUGCGCAUGUGCAUGCGUUGGUGUGUGUGUGUGUGUGUAUGCUUCUUUGCAUUUCAUCUUAGUGGGUUUAUGGCUGGUGUUGCUGGUUUUUCAUUUGUCUUUGUGGAAUUUAAGCUGUAGAUGGCCAGUAGGCUGUUGUGUUCUGGAGUGAGGAGGGUGAGUGCUGAUGAAACUUAACUGUUCGAAGGAAAUGGGAGGAGAAAGCAAGCAAUCAAAGCAUAUGACAGUGCACUGAUGGAAAUACUCCUGAGAUCAAGAUAAGGAGAACACACACGUGUACAUACACCACACUUCACUGCAUCCCUAGGAGAAAGGGCUUGAUAAAGAUGCACACACUGACAGUUCUAGUACAGGCAAGCUUCCAAAUACUGGGCAGUCAUUGUCCAUAUCUGUCACAGACAGCGUACACAGAGCAACUUAUGUUCGAUGGUUGUGGAAUUAAGUAUUCAUUGGCUGUCACGGAGCAUGUAGUGUCCUAGACUGUUAGAACACAAGCAAUCUAACACAUUCUGGGCCUUCAUUCUGCAUUCUGGUCUGCUGUUUAGUAUGUACUAGACUGUUGGGUAGAUACAGAGUAAUGUAAAAUGUCUCUGCCAAUAGCCAUCUACUUACUAUGGCUCAUAGAAAACUAUCUUAGCAGAUAUUGAGCAGUUAUAGCUCAUGCUGAUGAUUGUCAGAGAGCAUCCAGGCUCCUAGAUUCUGAACCAGCACAGAUGCUUGUCAUUACAUGUGUCUUCUGAUAUAUGCUGGGUUGUUGGAGCAGAUGGGUGGCUGUCAUGGUUGGUAUGUGAGGCUGACCCUCUCUGGUCCUCCAUGGUGCUGAACAGCUAUCAGAUUACAAGACCUGAUUCCUAUGCUGUCAACAAUGUAAUGGUGUUCAUUUUAUACUGCAUGCAGAUUGAUUCAUGGGAGCAUGGGAUGGGCUAUCGCAUCCAGACACCUAACAAGCUGCUAAACAAGUUUCUUACUUUGUGCCCUGGUAAUGUAUACCCCUAGGUAUAUUAUAUUACAAUGUGGAAGAGCUAGUACUACUUUUAGUUCAAGCAGAAUUAUGAGGUGCAUACCUAAAAUUUUCUCCAUUUUAAGGAAGCACUUACAGCUGAACAAUUAUAUUCCUCUCCCCAGGGCCCACAAGGAUCUUUGGCUUUCAUUUCUCUUUCAUUUAUUUCACUUUAUAAUUCUUUCAUUUAUCCACACAGAUGGCAGGAAACAUAUUUUGUUUCCCUAACAGAUAAUUCUGUUUCCUACUCAGAGAGUUCACUGUGUUUACAACCAUACAUUGCAAUAUUUAUCUUUCACUUCUCAUGACUAAAUAUAUUUGUAGUACUUUUUAUGAUUGAUAAUAUUUAAUAGUUUUAAUUGUCAAAAUAAAUUAAUAAAAUAUGCUCUAUGUAUAGAAACUAAAAUAUAAGAUAAAUAUUUAUGAAUAAUGUAAUAAUAUAAUAUCAUUUGGUCUGUAUGACAGAAAUUUUUUAUGAACUCCAAUGUAAUGCAAUGAAGCAGAUAAUACAAAUUCUUCUACAUCUGCCAGGGCUCCAACAACCGGGCUUCCCAUUUCUGUGAGCAAAAACACCCGACAUGCUGAAGUGUGCCUGCUGCUCUCCCACCUCUAUCUCAGUGGCUAAAGUCUAAGUUUUAAAAAUAAGCACAGCUGGGGACACCAGAUAUACUUACACAGAAGGAGGAAAUGGGACGCCAAUCUCUCAGUUACAAAAAUCAAUUCAAAAUGGAUCAAAGACUCAAAUAAAUGUAAGACCUGAAACCAUGAAACUAGACAAAUAAGCAUGGUGACGAUGCUUCAGGACAUUGGUAUGGGAUUUCCUGGAUAAGACCCCAAAAAGCACGGACACCAAACCCCAAAAUAGAGACGUGAGAUUACACCAAACUAAAAUGUUGGUGUACAGCCAAGGAAACAACCGUAGCAGCGACAACUCAUAGGUUGGGAGGGAAUAUUGUAAGCUCCUCCUCAGAAGAGGAGAUGAUAAAAUAUCUAUGGAAUACAAACAACUCAACAAUG